rnacentral:rRNA from 1 species
GACAGAGGGUGCAAACGUUGCUCGGAAUUACUGGGCGUAAAGCGCGUGUAGGCGGUCUCGCGAGUCGGGGUGUGAAAGCCCGGGGCUCAACCCCCGGACGUGCAUUCGAUACUACGAGGCUGGAGUACUGUAGAGGAGAGCGGAAUUCCCGGUGUAGAGGUGAAAUUCGUAGAUAUCGGGAGGAACACCAGUGGCGAAGGCGGCUCUCUGGACAGUGACGUGACGCUGAGACGGCGAAAAGCGGUGGGUAGCAAACAGGA